rnacentral:ncRNA from 1 species
ACCCGUAUGGUGACAUACGGCUCAGUUGCAAGAAGUCAGCAGAGGUCAUAGUACCGAGAAUUUUUUUUUUCGGGAAGG